rnacentral:rRNA from 1 species
GACGAACGCUGGCGGCGUGCUUAACACAUGCAAGUCGAACGGAAAGGCCCUGCUUUUGUGGCGGGCUCGAGUGGCGCACGGAUGAAUAUCACGUGAGUAACCUGACCACAGCUUUGAGCUAACGCCAAGACCCUGUGGCUAGUGCCGGAUAAGAGCUCCUCCUGCCUAGUGGGGGCUGGCAAGUUUUGGCGGAUGGGGAUGGGCUCGCGGCUUCUCAGCUGGUUGGUGGGGUCGUGGCUUACCAAGGCUUUGACGGGAAGCCGGCCGGAGAGGGUGACCGGCCACAUUGGGACGGAGAUACGGCCGAGACUCCUACGGGAGGAAGCAGUGGGGAAGAAUGCACAAUGGGCGGCAGCCGGAUGCAGCAACGACGCGUGCUGGAUGACGGACUUCGGGGGGUAAUCCGCUUUCGCCCGUGACGAAGAGUGAGUGACGGUAAUGGGUAAAGAAGCACCGGCUAACUACGUG